AGUGAACGCUGGCGGUAGGCCUAACACAUGCAAGUCGAACGGCAGCACAGGAGAGCUUGCUCUCUGGGUGGCGAGUGGCGGACGGGUGAGGAAUACAUCGGAAUCUACUUUUUCGUGGGGGAUAACGUAGGGAAACUUACGCUAAUACCGCAUACGACCUACGGGUGAAAGCAGGGGACCUUCGGGCCUUGCGCGAUUGAAUGAGCCGAUGUCGGAUUAGCUAGUUGGCGGGGUAAAGGCCCACCAAGGCGACGAUCCGUAGCUGGUCUGAGAUGAUGAGCAGCCCCACUGGAACUGAGACACGGUCCAGACUCCUACGGGAGGCAGCAGUGGGGAAUAUUGGACAAUGGGCGCAAGCCUGAUCCAGCCAUACCGCGUGGGUGAAGAAGGCCUUCGGGUUGUAAAGCCCUUUUGUUGGGAAAGAAAUCCAGCUGGCUAAUACCCGGUUGGGAUGACGGUACCCAAAGAAUAAGCACCGGCUAACUUCGUGCCAGCCGCCGCGGUAA
rnacentral:rRNA from 1 species